rnacentral:rRNA from 1 species
GGCUCAGGAUGAACGCUAGCGGCAGGCCUAAUACAUGCAAGUCGAACGGUAGAUUUGGUAGCAAUACUGAAUUGAGAGUGACGUAAGGGUGCGUAACACGUAUGCAAUCUGCCCUCAACAGGAGUAUAGCUCGGGGAAACUCGGAUUAACCCUCCAUAAGAUCUUAGGGUGGCAUCACCUAGAGAUUAAAACUUCGGUGGUUGAGGAUGAGCAUGCGCAUGAUUAGUUAGUUGGAGGUGUAACGGACCCCCCAAGACGAUGAUCAUUAGGGGAACUGAGAGGUUGAUCCCCCACACUGGCACUGAGAUACGGGCCAGACUCCUACGGGAGGCAGCAGUAGGGAAUAUUGGUCAAUGGGUGAGAGCCUGAACCAGCCAUGCCGCGUGCAGGAAGACGGCCUUCUGGGUUGUAAACUGCUUUUAUCUGGGGAUAAAAAGACCGUGCGCGGUUAAUUGAAGGUACCAGAUGAAUAAGCACCGGCUAACUACGUG